rnacentral:rRNA from 1 species
CAGCACCUCAAGUGGUCAGGAUGAUUAUUGGGCCUAAAGCAUCCGUAGCCUGUUCUGUAAGUUUCCGGUUAAAUCCAUUAGCUCAACUAAUGGGCUGCCGAAAAUACUGCAAAACUAGGGAGUGGGAGAGGUAGACGGUACUCGGUAGGAAGGGGUAAAAUCCUUUGAUCUAUUGAUGACCACCUGUGGCGAAGGCGGUCUACCAGAACACGUUCGACGGUGAGGGAUGAAAGCUGGGGGAGCAAACCGGAUUAGAUACCCGGGGGUAGUCCCAGCUGUAAACGAUGCAGACUCGGUGAUGCCCCUGGCUUGUGGCCAGUGCAGUGCCGCAGGGAAGCCGUUAAGUUUGCCGCCUGGGAAGUACGUACGCAAGUAUG